rnacentral:lncRNA from 1 species
AAGGACCUUAGACAAAGAUAUUUAGAAUUUUUGGAAGGUCAGAAGUAUUUUAAAAUAUUUAAAAAUAAGUCAAAAAUCAUUUAAUUCACAAAAAAUAUCAAAAUUAAUCCAAAAAUGAUUUUAAUUCGAAAUAUGGAAGAGGAAAAUAUUUAAAGAUUUUUGGUGAACAUCCCAUAUUUUUUGGAUUAAAAAUGAAAUUUCCAUGAAUAAAAUAAAAUAAAUGGAUUAAAC